rnacentral:rRNA from 1 species
UGGGGAAUUUUGGACAAUGGGCGAAAGCCUGAUCCAGCAAUGCCGCGUGUGUGAAGAAGGCCUUCGGGUUGUAAAGCACUUUUGUCCGGAAAGAAAUCCUUGGCUCUAAUACAGUCGGGGGAUGACGGUACCGGAAGAAUAAGCACCGGCUAACUACGUGCCAGCAGCCGCGGUAAUACGUAGGGUGCAAGCGUUAAUCGGAAUUACUGGGCGUAAAGCGUGCGCAGGCGGUUUGCUAAGACCGAUGUGAAAUCCCCGGGCUCAACCUGGGAACUGCAUUGGUGACUGGCAGGCUAGAGUAUGGCAGAGGGGGGUAGAAUUCCACGUGUAGCAGUGAAAUGCGUAGAGAUGUGGAGAAUACCGAUGGCGAAGGCAGCCCCCUGGGCCAAUACUGACGCUCAUGCACGAAAGCGUGGGGAGCAAACAGGAUUAGAUACCCUGGUAGUCCACGCCCUAAAACGAUGUCAACUAGUUGUUGGGGAUUCAUUUCCUUAGUAACGUAGCUAACGCGUGAAGUUGACCGCCUGGGGAGUACGGUCGCAAGAUUAAAACUCAAAUGAAUUGACGGGGUCAUAGCUGUUUCCU